UAUGCGUCCUAUCUUCCUCUU
rnacentral:siRNA from 1 species